AGAACAGAUAACGAGAUAAAGAAUUUCUGGAAUUCAAAUUUGAAGAGGAAGCUAAUAAAGCAAGGCAUAGAUCCAAAUACCCACAAGCCACUAAGUGAAAAUCAUCAAGUAAGAAAUGAGCCGAAUUGUACAGAUAAGACCUCAAGUUUGCUGAUGCCCAAGCUCCCAAAUAUGUCAGAUUCAGCUGAAAUACAGCAACCAUUUCAUUUUUUCAAUAGUAAAAGAAAUUUCAACAGCCAAGCAGUUACUAG
rnacentral:misc_RNA from 1 species